GACCAGACUCCUACGGGAGGCAGCAGUGGGGAAUAUUGCACAAUGGGGGAAACCCUGAUGCAGCGACGCCGCGUGAGUGAAGAAGUAUUUCGGUAUGUAAAGCUCUAUCAGCAGGGAAGAAAAUGACGGUACCUGACUAAGAAGCCCCGGCUAACUACGUGCCAGCAGCCGCGGUAAUACGUAGGGGGCAAGCGUUAUCCGGAUUUACUGGGUGUAAAGGGAGCGUAGACGGCAUGGCAAGUCAGAUGUGAAAGCCCGGGGCUCAACCCCGGGACUGCAUUUGAAACUGUCAGGCUGGAGUGCAGGAGAGGUAAGUGGAAUUCCUAGUGUAGCGGUGAAAUGCGUAGAUAUUAGGAGGAACACCAGUGGCGAAGGCGGCUUACUGGACUGUAACUGACGUUGAGGCUCGAAAGCGUGGGGAGCAAACAGGAUUAGAUACCCGAGUAGG
rnacentral:rRNA from 1 species